UACCCACUCCCGGCACGGGGAGGUAGUGACGAAAAAUAACGAUACGGGACUCAUCCGAGGCCCCGUAAUCGGAAUGAGUACACUCUAAACCCUUUAACGAGGAUCAAUUGGAGGGCAAGUCUGGUGCCAGCAGCCGCGGUAAUUCCAGCUCCAAUAGCGUAUAUUAAAGUUGUUGCGGUUAAAAAGCUCGUAGUCGAAUCUGUGUCCCGCGCCGCUGGUUCAUCGUACGCGGUGUCAACUGGCGUGCCGCGGGACGUCCUGCCGGUGGGCUUAGCCCGAAAGGGCGGCCCAACUCAAUCCCGCCGCGGUGCUCUUCAUUGAGUGUCGAGGUGGGCCGGCACGUUUACUUUGAACAAAUUAGAGUGCUUAAAGCAGGCUAAAACUUCGCCUGAAUACUGUGUGCAUGGAAUAAUGGAAUAGGACCUCGGUUCUAUUUUGUUGGUUUUCGGAACCCCGAGGUAAUGAUUAAUAGGAACGGAUGGGGGCAUUCGUAUUGCGACGUUAGAGGUGAAAUUCUUGGAUCGUCGCAAGACGGACAGAAGCGAAAGCAUUUGCCAAAAACGCUUUCAUUGAUCAAGAACGAAAGUUAGAGGUUCGAAGGCGAUCAGAUACCGCCCUAGUUCUAACCAUAAACGAUGCCAGCUAGCGAUCCGCCGACGUUCCUCCGAUGACUCGGCGGGCAGCUUCCGGGAAACCAAAGCUUUUGGGUUCCGGGGGAAGUAUGGUUGCAAAGCUGAAACUUAAAGGAAUUGACGGAAGGGCACCACCAGGAGUGGAGCCUGCGGCUUAAUUUGACUCAACACGGGAAACCUCACCAGGCCCGGACACCGGAAGGAUUGACAGAUUGAGAGCUCUUUCUUGAUUCGGUGGGUGGUGGUGCAUGGCCGUUCUUAGUUGGUGGAGCGAUUUGUCUGGUUAAUUCCGAUAACGAACGAGACUCUAGCCUGCUAACUAGGCGUAUUUCGACAUCCCAAAGGCCCGCCGGUGUGGGGUUUCGGCUCCUGCUGCGCGCGGUUUUUACUGUCGGCGUACAAACAAUUCUUCUUAGAGGGACAGGCGGCUUCUAGCCGCACGAGAUUGAGCAAUAACAGGUCUGUAAUGCCCUUAGAUGUUCUGGGCCGCACGCGCGCUACACUGAAGGAAUCAGCGUGUCCUCCCUGGCCGAGCGGCCCGGGUAACCCGCUGAACCUCCUUCGUGCUAGGGAUUGGGGCUUGCAAUUGUUCCCCAUGAACGAGGAAUUCCCAGUAAGCGCGAGUCAUAAGCUCGCGUUGAUUACGUCCCUGCCCUUUGUACACACCGCCCGUCGCUACUACCGAUUGAAUGAUUUAGUGAGGUCUUCGGACUGAGCGCGGUGGCGUUUCGGCGUCGUCGAUGCUUCGGAAAGAUGACCAAACUUGAUCAUUUAGAGGAAGUAAAAGUCGUAACA
rnacentral:rRNA from 1 species